rnacentral:tRNA from 1 species
UAUCUUAUUUAAAUAAGAUAAGGCAAUAUUAGCUAGCACAACGGUAAUGC